AACGCUAGCGGCAGGCUUAACACAUGCAAGUCGAGGGGUAACAGGCUGGAAUUUCGGUUUCGGUGCUGACGACCGGCGAACGGGUGAGUAACGCGUAUGCAACCUGCCUUUUACAGGGGGAUAGCUUUCGGAAACGGAAAUUAAUACCCCAUAACACUGCACUGUGGCAUCACAGAGCAGUUAAAGCUUCGGUGGUAAAAGAUGGGCAUGCGUAACAUUAGCUUGUUGGUGAGGUAACGGCUCACCAAGGCUACGAUUUUUAGGGGACCUGAGAGGGUGAUCCCCCACACUGGUACUGAGACACGGACCAGACUCCUACGGGAGGCAGCAGUGAGGAAUAUUGGUCAAUGGACGGAAGUCUGAACCAGCCAUCCCGCGUGCAGGAAGACGGCCCUAUGGGUUGUAAACUGCUUUUCUGAAGGAAGAAUAAUUACGAUGUAUCGUGAGACGACGGUACUUCAGGAAUAAGCAUCGGCUAACUCCGUGCCAGCAGCCGCGGUAAUACGGGGGAUCCAAGCGUUUUCCGGAAUUAAUGGGUUUAAAGGGNGCGUAGCCGGAUUAAUAAGUCAGGGGUGAAAACUCCCGGUUAACCGGGAAACUGCCAUUGAUACUGUGAUCUUGANUUCGGUAAAAGGAGGCGGAAUG
rnacentral:rRNA from 1 species